GACGAACGCUGGCGGCGUGCUUAACACAUGCAAGUGGAGCGACGAACCAGGGCUUGCCCUGGGGCAGAGCCGCGAACGGGUGAGUAACACGUGGGUUACCUGCCCCGAUGAUUGGGACAACCCGAGGAAACUCGGGCUAAUACCAAAUGUGCUCCUGGCCGUAAUGGCCUUGAGGAAAGGAAGCUUCGGCCUCCGCAUCGGGAUGGGCCCGCGGCCCAUUAGCUUGUUGGUGAGGUAACGGCUCACCAAGGCGACGAUGGGUAGCUGGUCUGAGAGG
rnacentral:rRNA from 1 species